UCCAUGUGUAGCGGUGAAAUGCGUAGAUAUAUGGAAGAACACCAGUGGCGAAGGCGGCUUUCUGGUCUGUUACUGACGCUGAGGCUCGAAAGCAUGGGUAGCGAACAGGAUUAGAUACCCUGGUAGUCCAUGCCGUAAACGAUGAAUACUAGGUGUUGGAGGGUUUCCGCCCUUCAGUGCCGCAGCUAACGCAUUAAGUAUUCCGCCUGGGGAGUACGACCGCAAGGUUGAAACUCAAAGGAAUUGACGGGGGCCCGCACAAGUGGUGGAGCAUGUGGUUUAAUUCGAUGCUACGCGAAGAACCUUACCAGCUCUUGACAUCUUCUGCCAACCCAAGAGAUUGGGCGUUCCCUUCGGGGACAGAAUGACAGGUGGUGCAUGGUUGUCGUCAGCUCGUGUCGUGAGAUGUUGGGUUAAGUCCCGCAACGAGCGCAACCCUUAUUAUUAGUUGCCAGCAUUUAGUUGGGCACUCUAGUGAGACUGCCGGUGAUAAACCGGAGGAAGGUGGGGACGACGUCAAAUCAUCAUGCCCCUUAUGAGCUGGGCUACACACGUGCUACAAUGGAUGGUACAACGAGUCGCGAAACCGCGAGGUCAAGCUAAUCUCUUAAAGCCAUUCUCAGUUCGGAUUGCAGGCUGCAACUCGCCUGCAUGAAGUUGGAAUCACUAGUAAUCGUGGAUCAGCAUGCCACGGUGAAUACGUUCCCGGGCCUUGUACACACCGCCCGUCACACCAUGAGAGUUUGUAACACCCAAA
rnacentral:rRNA from 2 species